rnacentral:rRNA from 1 species
AUUGAACGCUGGCGGCAGGCCUAACACAUGCAAGUCGCACGAGUGUCGGACGGGUGAGUAAUGUCUGGGAAACUGCCUGGUGGCGGGGGAUAACUACUGGCAACGGUAGCUAAUACCGCAUACUAUAAGAUGUGCCAAGAUGGGAUUGGCUUGUUGGUGGGGUAAUGGCUGCCAAAGGCGACGAACCCUAGCUGGUUUGAGAGGAUGACCAGCCACACUGGAACUGGGACACGAGCCAGACUCCGACGGGAGGCAGCAGUGGGGAAUAUUGCACAAUGGGCGCAAGCCUGAAGCAGCAAGGCCGCGUGUAUGAAGAAGGCCUUCGGGUUGUAAAGUACUUUCAGCGGGGAGGAGUUACCCGCAGAAGAAGCACCGGCUAACUCCGUGCCAGCAGCCGCGGUAAUAC